UGGCGAACGGGUGAGUAACACGUGAGCAACCUGCCCCUGACUCUGGGAUAAGCGCUGGAAACGGCGUCUAAUACCGGAUAUGAGCUGCGAUCGCAUGGUCAGCAGUUGGAAAGAUUUUUCGGUCUGGGAUGGGCUCACGGCCUAUCAGCUUGUUGGUGAGGUAAUGGCUCACCAAGGCGUCGACGGGUAGCCGGCCUGAGAGGGUGACCGGCCACACUGGGACUGAGACACGGCCCAGACUCCUACGGGAGGCAGCAGUGGGGAAUAUUGCACAAUGGGCGAAAGCCUGAUGCAGCAACGCCGCGUGAGGGAUGACGGCCUUCGGGUUGUAAACCUCUUUUAGCAGGGAAGAAGCGAAAGUGACGGUACCUGCAGAAAAAGCGCCGGCUAACUACGUGCCAGCAGCCGCGGUAAUACGUAGGGCGCAAGCGUUAUCCGGAAUUAUUGGGCGUAAAGAGCUCGUAGGCGGUUUGUCGCGUCUGCUGUGAAAUCCCGAGGCUCAACCUCGGGUCUGCAGUGGGUACGGGCAGACUAGAGUGCGGUAGGGGAGAUUGGAAUUCCUGGUGUAGCGGUGGAAUGCGCAGAUAUCAGGAGGAACACCGAUGGCGAAGGCAGAUCUCUGGGCCGUUACUGACGCUGAGGAGCGAAAGGGUGGGGAGCAAACAGGCUUAGAUACCCUGGUAGUCCACCCCGUAAACGUUGGGAACUAGUUGUGGGGUCCAUUCCACGGAUUCCGUGACGCAGCUAACGCAUUAAGUUCCCCGCCUGGGGAGUACGGCCGCAAGGCUAAAACUCAAAGGAAUUGACGGGGACCCGCACAAGCGGCGGAGCAUGCGGGAUUAAUUCGAUG
rnacentral:rRNA from 1 species